rnacentral:rRNA from 1 species
UACAGAGGUCUCAAGCGUUGUUCGGAUUCAUUGGGCGUAAAGGGUGCGUAGGUGGCGCCGUAAGUCGGGUGUGAAAUUUCGGAGCUUAACUCCGAAACUGCAUUCGAUACUGCGGUGCUUGAGGACUGGAGAGGAGACUGGAAUUCACGGUGUAGCAGUGAAAUGCGUAGAUAUCGGGAGGAAUACCAGUGGCGAAGGCGGCCUUCUGGACGGAUACUGACGCUGAGGCGCGAAAGCCAGGGGAGCAAACGGG